rnacentral:rRNA from 1 species
GAGGACAACAUGCGAGUUGUAUGGGAUACUAGAUUUCCCAUAGCAACUGCUUAGUAACACAUGAUCAACUUACCCUAUGGAGAAAUAUAACCUCGGGAAACUGAGGAUAAUACUUCAUGAGUUGAAUAGGCUUGGAAAAGUUUUUCAAUGAAAGGGAUAAGAAAAAUGGUUCUUAUCUGCCAUAGGAUAGGAUCGUGCUCGAUUAUGGUUGUUGGUGAGGUAAAGGCUCACCAAGCCGAUAGUCGAUAGGGGCCGUGAGAGCGGGAGCCCCAAGAUGGGUACUGAGACAGCGACCCAGGCCUUACGAGGCGCAGCAGGUACGAAACCUCCGCAAUACACGAAAGUGUGACGGGGUUACCCAAAGUGUUCUUAUAGAACUGUGGCAGGUGAGUAAUGUCCCCUGCUAGAAAGGAGAGGGCAAGGCUGGUGCCAGCCGCCGCGGUAAAACCACUCUUCAAGUGGUCGGGAUAAUUAUUGGGCUUAAAGUGUCGUAGCCGGUUUAGUAAGUUCCUNGGUAAAAUCAGGGUAGCUUAACUACAUCUGUAUGCCUAGGAAUUACUGCUAUACCUAGAGGGGCGGGAAGAAGGGUCUUGAGGGUUAC